rnacentral:rRNA from 1 species
GGUGAACGCUGGCGGCGUGCCUAAGACAUGCAAGUCGAGCGGGGCAGGUUUAUACCUGUUCAGCGGCGGACGGGUGAGUAACGCGUGGGUGACCUACCCGGAAGAGGCGGACAACCUGGGGAAACCCAGGCUAAUCCGCCAUGUGGUCCUGUCCUGUGGGGCAGGACUAAAGGGGCGACCCGCUUCCGGAUGGGCCCGCGUCCCAUCAGCUAGUUGGUGGGGUAAAGGCCCACCAAGGCGACGACGGGUAGCCGGUCUGAGAGGAUGGCCGGCCACAGGGGCACUGAGAAACGGGCACCACUCCUACGGGAGGCAGCAGUUAGGAAUCUUCCGCAAUGGACGGAAGUCUGACGGAGCGACGCCGCUUGGAGGAGGAAGCCCUUCGGGGUGUAAACUCCUGAACUGGGGACGAAAGCCCCGUGUAGGGGGAUGACGGUACCCAGGUAAUAGCGCCGGCCAACUCCGUG